rnacentral:rRNA from 1 species
CACGUAGGGGGCAAGCGUUGUCCGGAUUUAUUGGGCGUAAAGAGCUCGUAGGCGGUUCGCUAAGUCGGGUGUGAAAACUCUGGGCUCAACUCAGAGACGCCAUCCGAUACUGGCGUGGCUCGAGUCCGGUAGGGGAGCAUGGAAUUCCUGGUGUAGCGGUGAAAUGCGCAGAUAUCAGGAGGAACACCAGUGGCGAAGGCGGUGCUCUGGGCCGGUACUGACGCUGAGGAGCGAAAGCGUGGGUAGCAAACAGG